rnacentral:rRNA from 1 species
CCUACGGGGGGCAGCAGUGGGGAAUAUUGCACAAUGGGCGAAAGCCUGAUGCAGCGACGCCGCGUAGAGGGACGACGGCCUUCGGGUUGUAAACCUCUUUCAGUA